rnacentral:rRNA from 1 species
UACGUAGGGGGCAAGCGUUGUCCGGAGUUACUGGGCGUAAAGCGCACGCAGGCGGUCUCUUAAGUUUGGAGUGACAGUUGGUGGCUUAACUGCCAAGGUGCUUCGAAAACUGAGAGACCUGAGGGCUUCAGAGGGACACGGAAUUCCGGGUGGAGUGGUGAAAUGCGUAGAGAUCCGGAGGAACACCAAAGGCGAAGGCAGUGUCCUGGGGAGUACCUGACGCUCAGGUGCGAAAGCCAGGGGAGCGAACGGG